rnacentral:rRNA from 1 species
UAGGGAAUCUUCCACAAUGGGCGAAAGCCUGAUGGAGCAACGCCGCGUGUGUGAUGAAGGGUUUCGGCUCGUAAAACACUGUUGUAAGAGAAGAAUGACAUUGAGAGUAACUGUUCAAUGUGUGACUGUAUCUUACCAGAAAGGAACGGCUAAAUACGUUCCAG